CUACCGUUAGCUCAGUUGGUAGGAUUGUAGUUAUUACCAAUUCAGUAUUCCUUUGGUCACCGGUUCGAACCCGGUACAGUAGA